UUACCACUCUUGACGAUAUCAGUAUCAAGACACGUUUCUUUCGUAUUAGAACUAAAGUCUAACUAACUAAACCAACAACUUACCAUCAUGAAAUUCACAACUGCCUCUUGUCUAGCACUCCUGUGCUUUGCAUUAAUUGUUAGUGCUCAAUCAGAAGAUAGCUCAGCAGAACAUGAGAACUUGGAUCAAUUAGAAGUCGACUACAACGACCUCAACCUGGCAAGGGCAAGUCUCCCACAACUGCGUAAUCGAUGCAAAAGCAUGGGUAAUUGUGUGCACGAUAAAAUUUGUGACAGCAACUGCAAACAGUUUGGUUACAAGGACGGAGAAUGCAGCGGAAGAUCUUGCAUUUGCUGUGCUUAAAAUAAUAAGAAUCUAUGGAAAAAUGUGUUUUUCGAAAAUCAGUUGUUCUGAAUAAAUAAUAAAGAAUAAUUACUCGACAUCAUAA
rnacentral:lncRNA from 1 species